CCUACGGGAGGCAGCAGUGGGGAAUAUUGCACAAUGGGGGAAACCCUGAUGCAGCGACGCCGCGUGAGUGAAGACGUAUUUCGGUAUGUAAAGCUCUAUCAGUAGGGAAGAAAAUGACGGUACCUGAUUAAGAAGCCCCGGCUAACUACGUGCCAGCAGCCGCGGUAAUACGUAGGGGGCCAGCGUUAUCCGGAUUUACUGGGUGUAAAGGGAGCGUAGACGGCAGCACAAGUCUGGAGUGAAAUGCCGGGGCUUAACCCCGGAACUGCUUUGGAAACUGUGCAGCUAGAGUGCAGGAGAGGUAAGUGGAAUUCCUAGUGUAGCGGUGAAAUGCGUAGAUAUUAGGAGGAACACCAGUGGCGAAGGCGGCUUACUGAACUGUAACUGACGUUGAGGCUCGAAAGCGUGGGUAGCAAACAGGAUUAGAUACCCCAGUAGUC
rnacentral:rRNA from 1 species